rnacentral:rRNA from 1 species
CACGUAGGGGGCAAGCGUUGUCCGGAUUUAUUGGGCGUAAAGAGCUCGUAGGCGGCUUAGUAAGUCGGGUGUGAAACCUCCAGGCUCAACCUGGAGACGCCACCCGAUACUGCUGUGGCUAGAGUCCGGUAGGGGAGCGUGGAAUUCCUGGUGUAGCGGUGAAAUGCGCAGAUAUCAGGAGGAACACCAGCGGCGAAGGCGGCGCUCUGGGCCGGUACUGACGCUGAGGAGCGAAAGCGUGGGGAUCAAACAGG